CCUUUUAUCUGUUGAAUUUCAGCAUUCCACGCCAAAUCUCCCGGCCCAAUUUCCCUUCACAAUGAAGAAACCAGAAGUCCAACAGCAAAAUUCUCAUCUCCCAGCAGCCCACACCAAAUAUUCCUCAACUUACUUUUUCAUUGAACCAACCUGCCCCAUACCCACACGCUCUUCUUUUUCCCGUGACAAACCAGCAGCAACAACCCCAUCCUUGCGCGUCGAUCUUCAAACGCCAUUUUGACAAGAAUCGACGAUCCAACGUCUCUUUCACCUUUUUCUGCCAGCCGCCGACAACUCUACUUGCAAUAUCAGAAGCAACACGCGAAUCGUCCUAUCCACCGUCAGAUGUCUCCACGUGAAGCUGCAAGGACAGAUGGAGCGAUCCGAACUGUCCACGCUACCCUUGCAGUCCUGAAACGCCAUUUUGACAAGAAUAGACGCUCCAACGUCUCUUUCACCUUUUUCUGCCAGCUGCUAGCAACUCUCAUUCUUGCAAUAUCAGAAGCAACACGUGAAUCGUCCUAUCCAGCGUCAGAUGUCUCCACGUCAAGCUGCAAGGACAGAUGGAACGAUCCAAACUGUCCACGCUACACCUACAGUCCAAAUUUAAGGGGAUUUGGACAAUUUCUCGUGCAAAGCCAGUUUUUUCCUCUCUUUGGAGAACAAAAAUUUUGAAUUGGAGGAUGAAUUAGGAAUCCCGACUUUUCCCUUUUCCCUCCCAAUUUGAAAAAACCUAAUUCCUCCCUAUAAAGCUUGUCAAAUUUUGCAAGAUCAUAUUUCAGUGUUAAAGCAUCCUCUCCAGCUCGUCCACUUUGAGUUUGCUGCUGCGAAAGAGGUAAAUGAUUCUCUUUUACAUUUUAGCUCUUCUUUGUUCAUUUUUUAAUCAUGAAUGUUGUGAGUUUUUUUUUCGAGCGAAACAAUGAGCUACUACUCUAAAGUCAUUUAUUAGUUUCGAUAAAGCUUGAGUAUCCAUUUAGUUUUGCUUGAGUAGUCUACUGUUCUUUGGUUCAAACUCGAGUAUUAAUGGAUAUUUGGUUCUGUUUCUCCUCUAUUGUUCAUGUCUUGGACUAAUGUUCUCUUUUCUUUGAUUCGGAAUGCUAGUGUUCUUUCGCCUGUUUCCAUAUAGUUAAGUUAGUUUUGAAUGAGUCCUUUAAGUAUUUUGGUUAUCUUACACUCUGUUUGAUGGUUGUUUUCUUUCUUAUCGAUACCUUCUUGGAGUUUCUUCUACUUGUUAUUGUUGUUUUUGUUGAUUAUAGUUUUGUUUUAGGAUGCAUUUGAGGCUGAGUAUUUUAUCAUAUUUAAGAGGAUUACAUGUUGGAUUUGAACUAAUCACUCCCUCUAAACUCCUAUAUUUAUAGUGUAAUAAGCUAAUAUCCCGAAGCUCCUAUAUGUAGAGUUCUUCUUGUUUAUUUGCAUUGAUUUCCUCAUGUGUGCAAUCCAUUGAUUUCUUCUUUUAAGUUCAAUUGCUAGUGGUUUGGUUAUGUGUUGUAUGGUCUUCGUAUUGGUUCACUAAAAUGAAAGAAUGAGUUUAUGUCCUAGUUCAUUCAAUUAAUGUAAAAAAUGAAACUUUAGAACAUGUGAAAGAUGGAAGCAUUUUGUAUCUAAUUAAAUUGUCUAGAAAGAUGGAACCAUUUUUUUAUCUAUCUAAUUUAUUUUCCUUCUCUGUUUUGUACUCGGCCAAUAUUGAUUUUUAUCUUGUGAUAGGUUAUAGUAUUGAUUAAAAGUUUUUUUUUUAGUUUACAUCUCAUAUGACUUUUGAUCUAAAGCUUGAUACUUGGUUACUCACUGAUUCUUUGUCUUAUUUUCAUUAAAUAUGAGUUCUUUCUUGAAGCAUAAAUGCCUAGUUCUUGCUUAUCAAGUUAGAGUUAGAGGCUAAGUCCAUGUUCAUUUAACUUUUAACCAAGUGUUUUAUGAUUGUCUUUGUUAUUAUCUAAAGUUGUUUUCUUCCAUGACUCACUUCCUUCACCUAGUCAAGAAGUCCAACUAUGUAUUCUCGAAAGUCAUAAAAAUGAAACAAAAAAUGAAGAAAUAACUAGUUUGAAGAUUUGCAUCCCUCCAUUAUUUACUGUGAAAUUGUGGAUGUCAAUUUUUUCAUCCGGAUCCUGUUAUAAGAUUGUUUUUUAUUUAUAGUCGAUUCCUAAAAAAAUGUGUGAAACGUAUUAAAAAGGAAGGGGAUAUUUGUCUGCUCCUUCCGCUCAUGUCUGUUUUAUUUGUUCACAAGCAUGUUUGGCCAGCUUAUGAGAUUGUUUGGAAGCGUUCAUCAUCUAUCUUCGUCCUUAGAGUAAAAUUAUAGCCUUAGUUCGGGUCAUCUAAGCACCUUCUAAUUGUUCAAUUCUUUAGGGCCAAGUAAUUAAUUUUUCAGCAUGUAUUUGUUAGUUAAAAUCGCACUGACUCUCCUAUCUUUGUCUAAAAUUGAAGAUAUUUUUCCUGGUUGUUAGUUUGCUUUCUAUUUCAAUGGCCAAUAUGGUGGUUUUACUUAACAACUCUUUUGCAAAUCUUGUAUUUAUCCAUGCAUAACAUUGUUUAAUUUCGUCAAAUAGAGUUGGUCAAACCAAAGCAUGUGAUUUUUUUAUUUGGUAAUUUUGCGGUAUUUUCCUUUUAAUAUUUUGAGAAUUUUGUUGGUUAAUAAUUGUGUAUUCCCUGGAAUAUGUACAUAAGUGUGUAUGUGUGUGUGUGUGUCUCUCUCUCUCUCUCUAUAUAUAUAUAUAUAUUUAUACACACAAAUAUGUGUGCUAUUGUUUAAUGUCGUAGUUUCUUUGUUAACUUUGUCAUUGUUAAUUUUGCUCCUUUGUUCUCUCCCUUUAAAGUCGCUUGUUUCUGUCUAAUUUGGAUUUCUUAAGUGGAUUUGAUCUUUGAAUUCCGUCUUGUUCAGUUACAUCUCAUUUAUUUUAUUUCCUAGUAUGCUAAUUUCUCGUUAUUGUUUGCAUGUAAAAUCCGUCCGAGUUCGCCAAGAACUCAUUUUCAUUCUUACGUUCUGAGUUGGCCACGGAGGUCCAAAUUUCCUCCUCUCGAGUCAAACCUACAACCGAUGAACAGGUCCCGAAAUGAAGGAAACCUAAGUAGAAGAAUUUGAAGAGAUGGGGCCAAAAGAGCCCAAAUUUAUUUUUUAUUUUUUUGUUAUUUUUUGGUCUUAGCCCUUGUCAUUUUGUAUUAUUAAUAAGAGCAACUUACAAAAAUAACUAUAUGUAUAGCGAAUGAAUAUCAAUAACUAUAAGUCUGUUAAUAACAAUAUAUUACUAUAAUUUAUAGGGA